CGUGGCUGGCGGGUGACGCACGGAAUAGAGUAGCGGUAAGGAGAGGAAGAGAAUAGGUUUAUCGGUAAGGAGGAGUAGGAUUGGGUCGAGGCCGCGAGAAGGAGAAGAGGCAGGUUGGGUCGGUUUUAUCGCUGUGCACGCGCCCCGGCGCCACCGACCGGUCCUUCGUGAGGGAUUAGCCGCUCCUUGGGUCUCCUGCGGCACCGACCGCGGAACCUCGACGAGACGGCAGCCGGACUAGACCGGCAGGCGGGGUCAGCGGCCGGGGCACGAGGCCUAGUCCGGUCGUCGGAGCGGAGGCUGGGCUAAGCUUGUCGUGUUGGAAGCGGUGGAGGCGGUACGGGGUCUCCAAGCCGACUAGGGCGCAGCGAGUAAGAGGGAAGAAAGAGACGAGCGCCGAGCGCAACUGAAGCUCUCCGGUAUCCGGAGCAGGUCGGCGUAGGAUAGUGACGGAACGAGGAGGUGGUGGUGAGGAGGGGAAGAAGGAGGGGAAGGACGGUCGGUCCCGUGAGAGGGAGAGGGUGGAGGGAAGCGGCGUCCUGAGGUACUCCUCACGCGCCUACGCCCACAGAACCGGUCAUCGUUGUCAACGCCGUCAAGGCGCGGCCCUCUUCGGAGCGUGACCCGCUACACCUCCUGCUGCUGGACGACGAAGGAGUCAGCACGCAGGAGGAGGCGCAGCACCCACUCGGGAGGGGAAGAAGGAGGUAGAGAGAAGAGAGGGUACGAAGAAAAGAGAUUCUCGAGAGAGACAGAAGAUAAAAAGAAGUCUCUCUGCCGGUACCGGCCGGCUACGGGCUCGCAGCGGCCGGUUCCUGGGCGGCCGCAGGUCUGGGGGUGGUGCGGUAAGGGUAGAGCGGAUCUGGACGUGUUCAGGGUAGAUCACGGGCGCGGUAAGAAGCCGGGGGCCGGGCGUCGAGACGUCGGGCUAGAGAAGUCGGCGGAGUGCAGGUUUCGUCUCCUCUCCUCGAGGGACGCUGCUCGGAGAGGUCGCGGGUCGUUUGGUGGUCCGGCAGGGUCGGAGGAAGAGCGAAGCCGUACUUGCGUGCCGGCAGCGCUGCCGAGCGGCGUAAGGACCGGAGCCCGCCGCGCCUGCGGGCGACGCUGCGUAGUGGGGAAGGAACCGAGGACGCCGCACCUGCGGUUACCGUUCGCCGUCGCGAACGGGCCGCCACCUCUUGCGUUUACCUAUUCGCCACGUCCCCACAAAAAACGUUUUCGCUUCGCAAAAGAGCCUAUGGGUGAAUUUUAUCCUGACGCCCAACUUAUGAGUCUUUGCCUCCAAAAAAAACGUUUUCACUGCUGCUGCAUGCUGGUCUUCGUGAGGCACGAAAUAAUCAUCCCUUUCUAUAUAGGUAGGCAAGGGCUGCUAAGAGACAUGGUUUGCGUGGGCGGAGGGCGUCACUCUGACUGUGGGAAGAAGUAACAGAGACAGAGACACGGUGUUUAUGAAGUGGUUUAAACCAUCUUUUGACUCGAAGACCGUUCGUAUCCAACCGCCCGUGGACGACUUCGAACGUGUUCAUGGCAAAACGGUGCCUGCAGGCUCCUUCGUGGUUUUCGUCCUCUACCAGAAGGUGCGGCAACAGGGUUUCUAUCGGUAAUUAACCCAGUAGUUUAACAAAGAAAACAUACACAUCUAACAUAGUUCCUAACCAACAGAACUAGAAGAUAACCACAAACAGACAGAAAGACCUUUAACGUGAAACGAAUAUAAAGUC
rnacentral:rRNA from 1 species